GCCUUCACGAUCGUGAUGGCCCGCUGGUCCCACUUCUCUGUCUCAAACUGGCUUUUUCUCAAUCCUUUGACUCCGCCGGGCUUUGUCACCCCCAUGACCUGGUGUUGGGUCUGAUCACCCCAACGUUCCUGGCUGCUCAAUGUGGGGUGACAAAGACCCCGGUGAAGGAACGCUAGAGCGUGUGAAAGCAGAGGACGCAUCAUCAGAGGACACCUGAGGAUGUCUAAAAGAAGCUCAGCAGGAAAGCUGAGUGCUGGGAAGAACCAGGGUAGCAAUGGGACAAAGUGAAAGCAGACAUUCUGCUUAUUUAAAUUUCUUAAGGCGUUUAUUAUGAAGAGGGGGGAGUGAAAGUUAGUGCUCAGAAUUUAUCACUCUUCAGUGCAGUAAAGCAGUUUUGCCCAUGGUUCCCGGAACAAGGGACUAUGGAGUUGGAUGAAUGGGAGAGAAUUGGCAGAGAUUUUUAAAAAAACAUAUAAAGGUGGAGCAAAUAUUCCAGUCUCGGUUUGGUCAAUGUGGGCACUAAUAAAAGCAGCUCUUGAGCCAUUUCAAACAGAUCAUGAGGCAGAUUCAGAUGAGGAAGAGGAGGGCGAGUGUAAAAAACUAACUUCAGAUUCUGAAUGUGAGGAACAGAAACCGGAGGAAAUCAAAGAAAGGGAAACCGAAAAAGGUAUGUUUUACUAGCCCCUCAGCUCCACCUGCUGAAUUAAGUGAAUGGCCACCUCCUCUCUCUCCCCUUAGUGGGCGAGAAAAUGAAUUAGCUACAAAACUUACCGCUCCUGUAGUUGCAACAUUAAAACCUGGAGCAAUUGGUAGUACUAAGACCCAGUGGAAUCUGAGGCUUGUUUAUUUAGAGAGCACCUCAAUAAACUGAGGCAUAUCCGGCACAGCCAGUGCCCUUACAAACGGCAACAAUUGUCUCCCACCGCGGCGGGCAGUGCUGCCGUGGACCUUUGCAGCACAGUUCUCAUUUCCCUGCUUCCUGGGAGCCACUGGAGAGGGUCCCCACGGGAGUUGGGGGACCCUUGCCCUCAGGAACCGUCGGUCUAUUACUUGAAAGAUCUAGAGGUGGCACUGUGCAUACGGAAAUGAUUGGUUCUGAUUAUACCAGAGAAAUUCAAUUAGUUAUUAGUUCCUCAACUCUGUGGUCUGCUUCCCCAGGAAAAAGAAUUGCUCAGUUGUUGACAUAAAGCUGGGAAGCAGCACAGUGAGAAGAACAGGAGGCUUUGGUAGUACUAAUCCAACAGGAAAGGCUGUAUUUUGGGUUAAUCAAGUGUCUGACAAAAGACCUAUUUGUACAGUAGACCUGCUGUUGGAUGCUUACAGACUGACACACAGGCCUGGUUGGCAGUAGUCUCCGGAAAAAAUAAAUCAUGCGCUGCUUUGCGUAGGGCAAGUCAAGUCAUCUUGAAGCUUCAGUUUCAUGUUUAACCUGCCUCUGCUGGAGAAAAACAGAUUUAAUAAGCACACAGGCAUGAUAUGGGCUGAAUGUGUUCAUUGUGGUGUUUGUGGCCUUUAUGAUGGGAAUGUUCAACCUCUACUACUACAUUGGUGCAAAACAAAGUGAAGCCUUCACAACAGAGUUUUAAGACACUGCUCUAGGCUAUAUUUGGACUUUCUGAAGUGAAAUCAGUGGUCAUCAACUAUAACCACAAAUUCAUUGAAAACAUUGGUUAUGUUAUUUAUGGAGCCUAUAAUGUUACAAUGGUCAUUGUUUUGCUAAGUAUGUUAACUGCCAUGAUCAACAAUUCAUUCCAGGGAAUUGAGGAUGAUGCUGAUGUGGAGUGGAAAUCUGCAAGGGCCAAACUCUGGUUUCCCUGCUUUGGGGAGGGGAGAGCACUUCCUGUUCCCUUCAAUCUGGUGCCAGGUCUGGGGUCCCUGUUUUGUCUCUUGCUGAAGCAUAAAGGGUGGAUUUUUCAGCUCUACCCAGGGUCAUAAAAAAGGUUUCCAAGAAAGAUGCAGAGAUAAGUCAGUAAGUAGAGAUAAGUAAGUGGAGACAAGAAAGUAGAGACAAAUAGAGACAGAGACAAAUAGAGAC
rnacentral:lncRNA from 1 species